rnacentral:rRNA from 1 species
UGCGUAGGCGGGUUGGCAGGUCGGAUGUGAAAUCCCCACGGCUUAACCGGGGGCCUGCAUUCGAAACCGCCAAUCUUGAGUACGAGAGAGGAGAGCGGAAUUCCUGGUGUAGCGGUGAAAUGCGUAGAUAUCAGGAAGAACACCUGUGGCGAAGGCGGCUCUCUGGCUCGAUACUGACGCUCAGGCACGAAGGCUAGGGGAGCAAACAGGAUUAGAUACCCUGGUAGUCC